GAUGAACGCUAGCGGCAGGCCUAAUACAUGCAAGUCGAACGAUAGUGAGAAGCUUGCUUCUCACGAAAGUGGCGCACGGGUGCGUAACGCGUAUGCAACCUACCUUAAUCAGGGGGAUAGCCCGAAGAAAUUCGGAUUAACACCGCAUAAAAUCACAGUAUAGCAUUAUACAAUGAUCAAAUAUUUAUAGGAUUAAGAUGGGCAUGCGUGACAUCAGUUAGUUGGCGGGGUAACGGCCCACCAAGACCACGAUGUCUAGGGGAUCUGAGAGGAUGACCCCCCACACUGGUACUGAGAAACGGACCAGACUCCUACGGGAGGCAGCAGUAAGGAAUAUUGGUCAAUGGAGGCAACUCUGAACCAGCCAUGCCGCGUGCAGGAAGACAGCCCUCUGGGUCGUAAACUGCUUUUAUUCGGGAAUAAACCUAUCUACGUGUAGAUAGCUGAAUGUACCGAAGGAAUAAGGAUCGGCUAACUCCGUGCCAGCCGCCGCGGUAA
rnacentral:rRNA from 1 species